CUUAUGUAUUGUAAGAACCCUUUGUUGUUUAGCUGCUAAGUCAUGUCUGGCUCUUUUACAACCCCAUGGACUAUAGCCCACCAGGCUCCUCUGUUCAUGGGAUUUCCCAGGCGAAAACACUAGAGUGGGUUGCCAUUUCCUUCUUCAGGGGAUCUUCCCAGCCCAGGGAUCAAACCCACAUCUCCACUGAGCCACCUGGGAAGCACUAAGAACUUUUUACAUAUUAAGAAACAUUUGCUCUAGAGAUUCAUAUGAGUGAGGCUUUUGGUCAUAUGCUUAUAACUGACAAGAGUCCAAUUAAGGCUGAGGGUAGCCAGACAGUACCAAGUGUACCAGUCUUGAAGGGACCCUACAGUAUCAUCAGAAGUAACAUGAGAAAGGAAACAUUUUCUGUAAAACCAUCCUCUUCAGAAAAUUCUAUAUGUGGUUAAAAGAAAUAUUUGAUACGCACAAGGGAAAGUACUGAAUGUAGUAAUAUCCAAACUGUUACCUGUUUUCUUGUUUAUUUUGCCAGCUAAUUUGUUUGAGAUAAUGGAGGACAUGUUGAAUGGUAUAGCCACUGGGGAGUCCCUCUUCCUUCAAUUUCUGAAACUGUUCUCUCAAGAAAGGUAGAAAUGGUAGUCCAGUGGAUUAUUUACCAUAUCAGUCGCCAGGGAAGCCCAAUAACGCUGGACAGCACCAAUUCCCAGGGGAGUCAUUGGGAGCACAGGUCUGGGGAAAGUCAGGCCUUCAGAGGGCGUGUGGUUUGAAAGUGCUUCCUAGAGUUUAAGAUCACGAGGGACGGCAUUAUAGGUUUAUUAAUUAACCACAAAGGGUAUAACAUAACUUAUAAAGCAUUAAUCAGUAAAAGGCACACCUAUGACCCAAUGAGUAAACAAAUAAUUCAAAAUAAUUAGCAUUUAUUCCCUGGUUGUGUAGCUGCCAUUGCAAAUAAGGAAUUUCAGAAUAUAGUGCUUAAUUUGUAAUUUUUUCCUUUAAUUGCGUCUGCCACCUGCUGUUAAUUUGAAGCAAAU
ensembl:lncRNA